rnacentral:lncRNA from 1 species
GUAAAUGUCAAAAUUUCUAGUCAAAUCUGUAAAACGAAACUGUGCUCAGAACGAUAAAACCAAUGCAAAACAAGGUAUUGAAGUUCCUUGCUUCAUUCCCAGCCAGCAGCAGCAGCAGGUGGUGCAAACUGAGGUGGGGGAGCAGCAGCAGCAGGUGGUGCAAACUGAGGUGGGGGAGCAGCUGCAUCCCAUUCUGCAGAGACUCCACCUGAAGCUGAAUCAUAAGUAAAAUGAAGAUCAGUGGAACAAACAAACAAAAAUAUGGCGCCAGCUGCUCAAUGGCAUCUUUGAAAUUGUAAAUACCGCAAACACAUUUUCCCAAUAGGAUAAUAGUGCAAAAUAAUAACUGAACAGAUAGUUCAUGGAUUGCUUAGGUUGCACAAGGUCAGAGGCAUGAUCAAUUAAGAAUACUCAUUACCUUGAUCUGGAUGCAUGUUGGCGACAGGUACAGCAGAAAUAGGUGGUUGAGCUGCAUCAGCAGACCACUGGUUUUCAGCGCUUGGGUUCAUCCAGUCAGUAGAAGCAAGUCCAAAAUCAGUAGAAGGAAGUGCAUAUUCGGCACUUGGUACUGCUUCCUCCUCUU